rnacentral:rRNA from 1 species
AAGGCAUUUAAAGAAUACCUUGAUUUAUAUAUAAUAGAGGCGUAUAAAACUACGAAAAGUAAUUUUUAGUUUUUAAACUGUGAGAAAUUAAUUCCUCAAAGGAAAACCUAAUCAUUAGGAUUAAAAUAUUACGCAAUGAAUUGAAACAUCUUAGUAAUUGUAGGAAUAAAAAUCAAAAGAGAUUCUUUUAGUAGCGGCGAGCGAAUAAAGAAAAGACCAUAAAUUUAAUCAAUAAUAUUAAAAAUGUAUUAAGUGAAAUUCUUAAGCAAUAGUUAGGUGAUAGCCCAAUAAUUUUUCAUAUUUUAAAUUUUUUGAGUAAGAUAAUACAUGAGUAAUUUUGUCUGAAGUCAUUUGGAAAACCAUUUUCAAAGUCUAAAUAUAUAUAUAAACUCGAUAGUGAACAAGUACUGUGAAGGAAAGGAAAAGAACUGACGUUGUUCUUAUUUUGAAAUUGAAUGCUAACAAGCAAUAGAAGCUUUAUAAAUAAGUAACUAUGUACCUUUGGCAUAAUGGACCAACAACUUUAUUUUAUUAGCUAAAAGCUUAAGCUGUUAAGUGAAGGCGCAGAGAAAUCAAAAAUUUGUUUUAAAAGAACAAGUUGUUAAUAAGAUAAAACCCGAAACAAUGUGAUCUAAUCAUGACCAGGUUAAAAAAUAAAUAAAUUUAUUUGGAGGACCGAACUUGUAAGCGUAGCAAAGCUUUAAGAUGAGUUAUGAUUCGUAGUGAAAGGCAAAUCGAACAUUGAAAUAGCUGGUUUUCCACGAAAUCUGUUUUAGCAGAGCAUCUUAUAUAAUUUUAAAUCAGGGGUAAAGCACUAUUUUGACUAGGGGAUUUUAUAAAAUUUACCAAAUCAUCGUAAACUCUGAAUACUGAUUUAAUUAAGGAUAGUCGAACUUAAAAUGCUAAGGUUUUAAGUUAAGAGGGAAACAGCCCAGAUCGAUAAAUAAGGUCUUUAAAUUUAAUCUAAGUGAAAAAGUUGUUAAAAAAUGAUUACAAUUAGAGAAUAGGCUUAGAAGCAGCCAUUUCUUAAAGAUAGCGUAAAUGCUCACUAAUUUAUGUUUUUUAGCGCUGAAAAUUUAUAGAGACUAAGAUUAAAUACCGAAUUUUCGAAUUAAUUGAUAUAAAAAUUAAUGGUAGUGGAACGUUGCGUAUAUUAUAGAUGAAAAAAAGUGAUUUUUUUUGGAGAUAUCGCAAGUGAUAAUGUUGGUAUGAGUAAUACAAAACCAUGUACAAAACAUGGUCACCGAAAAUCUAAGGUUUUCUACGCUAGGUUAAUCCACGUAGAGUAAAUCGGCCUCUAAAAUUUAUAAGUGAAAACUUUAAUUGAUGAGAUAAUAAAUUCAUGACAAAGAAGAUGCUUUUAUUUAGAUUAAAUGAUUUUUCUAAUUAAAAAGCUGAUUUUUUCAAGAAAAAUGAAUUUUAUAAAAUAAACCGUACUAAAACCACCACAGGUAGAUAGAUAGAAUAUAUUAAGGUGUUGAACGAACAAUAGCUAAGGAACUCGGCAAAUUUCUAUUGUAACUUCGGGAGAAAAUAGACCAUCUUUGGUGUCACAAAAUUGCAGGGAACGACUGUUUAAUUAACACAUAGGUUUUUGCAAAAAUAUUUUGAAGUAUAAGAACUGACACGUGUCCGGUGUUUUAAAUUAAUUGACAAAGUUCACGCUUUGAAAAAAUAUUUAAAAUAAACGACAGCUCUAACUAUGAGAGUUCAAAGGUAGCAUUAUUUGUCAUCUAAUUAGUGACGUGAAUGAAUCGUGUAACGAUUCCCUGACUGUCUCGGCUAUUGAUUCAAUGAAAUUGAAUUCUAGGUGAACAUGCCUAGUUAUUAAUUGUAGGCGAAAAGACCCCGUGAAGUUUUACUGAAAGUUAGUAUUGUUUAUUUUUCAAAAAUGUAUAGAAUAAGUAGUAGCUAUUAAAAUUAUCUUACGCUAGUAAGUUUAAAAAGCAACAAUUGGAAUACUACUCUUUUUUGUAUUAAUAACUUACCAAAUAAAUUUUGGGAUAGUGCUAAUUUGUUAGUUUCUCUGGGGCGGAGACCUCUAAAAGAGUAACGGAGGUGUGCAAAAAUAAAGUUCAAUUAGCGAUAACGAACUAAUGUAGAGUAUAAAGGCAUAAACUUUAUUGACUGUAAGAAUGAAAGUUCAAGCAGGGUUAGAUUUAAUCUAACGGUCUUAGUGAUCCGGUAUUUUUGAAUGGAAAAGAUAUCGCUCAACUGAUUAAAAUUACUCCGGGGAUAACAGCGUAGUCAGACUUUAAAGUUCUUAUUGACGGUCUGGAUCGCGACAUCGAUGUCGGCUCAAGCUAUCCUUGAGGUGAAGCAGCUUCAAAGGGUGUGGUUGUUCGCCACAUAAAAGCUUUCGUGGCUGGGUUAAGAGCGACGUAAGUCAGCUCGGUUUCUACCUCAAUUAAUUGUUUAAGAGAUUGAAAGAACUUACUUUUAGUACGAGAGGACCAAAGUAAUUUUUCCUCUGGUGAAUUUGUUAUUAAUAAUCAUUAGUAAGCAAAGUAGCUACGAAAAAAAUGGAUAAGUGCUGAAAGCAUCUAAAGUACGAAGCUGAUCUUAAAAUAAAUCUCUAAUCCAUCAUUUAAGAUUAAAAUGUGAUAGGUAAAUUAUGUAAGUUUUGU